rnacentral:rRNA from 1 species
CACUCCUACGGGAGGCAGCAGUGGGGAAUUUUGGACAAUGGGCGAAAGCCUGAUCCAGCAAUGCCGCGUGCAGGAUGAAGGCCUUCGGGUUGUAAACUGCUUUUGUACGGAACGAAAAAGCUCCUUCUAAUACAGGGGGCCCAUGACGGUACCGUAAGAAUAAGCACCGGCUAACUACGUGCCAGCAGCCGCGGUAAUACGUAGGGUGCGAGCGUUAAUCGGAAUUACUGGGCGUAAAGCGUGCGCAGGCGGUUAUGUAAGACAGAUGUGAAAUCCCCGGGCUCAACCUGGGAACUGCAUUUGUGACUGCAUGGCUAGAGUACGGUAGAGGGGGAUGGAAUUCCGCGUGUAGCAGUGAAAUGCGUAGAUAUGCGGAGGAACACCGAUGGCGAAGGCAAUCCCCUGGACCUGUACUGACGCUCAUGCACGAAAGCGUGGGGAGCAAACAGGAUUAGAUACCCCGGUAGUCCCAUGA